UACGUAGGGCGCAAGCGUUAUCCGGAAUCAUUGGGCGUAAAGCGCGUGUAGGCGGCUCGGUAAGUCCGCUCUGAAAGCCCGGGGCUCAACCCCGGGAGGCGGGUGGAUACUGCCGGGCUAGAGUCCGGAAGAGGCGAGUGGAAUUCCUGGUGUAGCGGUGAAAUGCGCAGAUAUCAGGAGGAACACCAAUUGCGAAGGCAGCUCGCUGGGACGGUACUGACGCUGAGACGCGAAAGCGUGGGGAGCGAACAGG
rnacentral:rRNA from 1 species